rnacentral:rRNA from 1 species
GUCCACGCCGUAAACGAUGGAUACUUGUUGUUGGAGGUAUUGACCCCUUCAGUGACGGAGCUAACGCGUUAAGUAUCCCGCCUGGGAAGUACGGUCGCAAGAUUAAAACUCAAAGAAAUUGACGGGGGCCCGCACAAGCGGUGGAGCAUGUGGUUCAAUUCGAUGCAACGCGAAGAACCUUACCUAGACUUGACAUGUAUUGGAAGGCUACCAGAAAUGGUGCCGCUCGCAAGAGCCGAUACACAGGUGCUGCAUGGCUGUCGU